AGCUUGAACGCUGGCGGCGUGGCUAAGACAUGCAAGUCGAACGGGUGUAGCAAUACACCAGUGGCGGACGGGUGAGUAAUGUAUCGCUAACGUGCCCUAGAGCUUGGGAUAGCCGGGAGAAAUUCCGGGUAAUACCAGAUGAAAUAUCCUUGUCGCAUGGCGAGGAUCUCAAAGCAGUAAUGCACUCUUGGGAGCGGGGCAGUACUACGGUACUCCAAGUCGUAGUUGGUGAGGUAACGGCUCACCAAGGCGACGACGCGUAGCCGGACUGAGAGGUUGGCCGGCCACAUUGGGACUGAGACACUGCCCAGACUCCUACGGGGGGCUGCAGUAACGAAUCUUCCGCAAUGCACGAAAGUGUGACGGAGCGACGCCGCGUGUGGGAUGAAGUUCUUAGGAUUGUAAAAUUCUUUCAGCGGGGAAGAUAAUGACUGUACCCGCAGAAGAAGCUCCGGCUAACUUCGUGCCAGCAGCCGCGGU
rnacentral:rRNA from 1 species